GAUGACCGCAGACAGAAUGCUUAACACAUGCAAGUCUACUUGAUUCUACUUCGGUAGUUGAUGGUGGCGGACGGGUGAGUAACGCGUAAAGAAUCUGCCCUUUAGUUUGGGAUAACCUUUGGAAACGAAGGCUAAUACCGAAUAUUAUGGAGAUGUCGCAUGACGACUUCAUGAAAGCUAUAUGCGCUAGAGGAGGACUUUGCGUCCCAUUAGUUAGUUGGUGAGGUAAUGGCUCACCAAGACCGCGAUGGGUAGCCGGCCUGAGAGGGUGAUCGGCCACAAGGGAACUGAGACACGGUCCUUACUCCUACGGGAGGCAGCAGUGGGGAAUAUUGGACAAUGGACCACAAGUCUGAUCCAGCAAUUCUGUGUGCACGAUGAAGGUCUUCGGAUUGUAAAGUGCUUUCAGUAGGGAAGAAAAAAAUGACGGUACCUACAGAAGAAGCGACGGCUAAAUAUGUGCCAGCCGCCGCAGUAA
rnacentral:rRNA from 1 species